rnacentral:rRNA from 1 species
UCUCCUGGAAACGGGUGGUAAUGCCGGAUGCUCCAGUCCAUCGCAUGGUGGUCUGGGAAAGAUUCUAUCGGUAUGGGAUGGGGUCGCGUCCUAUCAGCUUGAUGGCGGGGUAACGGCCCACCAUGGCCUCGACGGGUAGCCGGCCUGAGAGGGCGACCGGCCACAUUGGGACUGAGAUACGGCCCAGACUCCUACGGGAGGCAGCAGUGGGGAAUAUUGCACAAUGGGCGCAAGCCUGAUGCAGCGACGCCGCGUGCGGGAUGGAGGCCUUCGGGUUGUAAACCGCUUUUGAUCGGGAGCAAGCUCUUCGGGGUGAGUGUACCCUUCGAAUAAGCACCGGCUAACUACGUGCCAGCAGCCGCGGUAAUACGUAGGGUGCAAGCGUUAUCCGGAAUUAUUGGGCGUAAAGGGCUCGUAGGCGGUUCGUCGCGUCCGGUGUGAAAGCCCAUCGCUUAACGGUGGGUCUGCGCCGGGUACGGGCGGGCUGGAGUGCGGUAGGGGAGACUGGAAUUCCCGGUGUAACGGUGGAAUGUGUAGAUAUC